rnacentral:ribozyme from 1 species
UUAGAUUUUUUUUUUUUUUUUUCAUUUUUCCUUAUUCCCCCCCCU